rnacentral:lncRNA from 1 species
CUGCUGGCAUCUUCUGUUCUAGUCCACACUAUGCUGUCCCCGGGGGUACUGGGUUUAUAGAGAAGAACAGAGCUCCCAACCCCAGCAAAGAUGCAGAGGGAUUCUAAAGUGGACAGACACUGGCAGUAUUGCAGGACAAGAUUUGGAACCUUACGAGGACACGGAACCUCCUAGGUAAGUUACCAGCCACCUGCUCUUCCUUCCUUGGGAAGAAACACGGUGUUUCCUGGAAGGAUGAACGGCUCAGUGCUGACGUGCUAUGAGAAAUGCAGGCUGCAGCCAGGACUACUCUCCUUCCAAAUGCCAGCAAGGAGCACCAGAAGAACAAUUUAACCCAAGUGCUGACAGGGGCUCAUGACGGAGCUAUGGAGAGCGGCUGGGAUUCCUCUCAGGAAAGGUCACUUCAGUCGCAACGCAACAAAGUAACUUUGUCAGAUUUUAGGCUUUCCCUCUUAGCACUAAUAACACUUUAAAGAAUUCAUGCCUCUAAUUGGAUUUGAU